CCGACCUUAGCUCAGUUGGCAGAGCGCGGGUCUGUAACUCCCGUGGUCGUCGUUUCGAAUCCGACAGGUUGGA